UACGUAGGGGGCGAGCGUUUGUCCGGAGUUACUGGGCGUAAAGCGCUUGUAGGCGGUCCACCAAGUUUGGGGUGACAGUUGCCGACUUAAUCGGCAAAGUGCCUCAAAGACUGGCGGACUUGAGGGCCACAGAGGGACAUGGAACUCCAGGUGUAGUGGUGAAAUGCGUAGAUAUCUGGAAGAACACCAAAGGCGAAGGCAGUGUCCUGGGUGGUACCUGACGCUGAGAAGCGAAAGCCAGGGGAGCGAACGGG
rnacentral:rRNA from 1 species